rnacentral:rRNA from 1 species
AUGGUGGAUGAAGCAGCAGUACAUCAGGUGUCCCCGUUGUUGGCGCCAAUGUCCGAGGAGGAAGCUCGGCGCUGCUUCUUUGAUUUCAUGACCAAGGUUACGCAAUAUGAGGAGCUAGUUGAUGCCGGAAAAAUGUUUCUUGUAAAGUUCCGUCAGGAAUUAGAGCAUUUUCGAAGACCAAUGAUUCCCAUGGAAUCGGAUGCUGUCAGUCAGUUAGUCAAAUCUAACUACACUGAUCGACUGAGGUCCUAUCUUGAAGCAGGCUGCCACCUUCAGCACCAAAGUAUCCGGAAUAUUAACCAGUUACAAUCUUGCGAGGAAAAACUUGAGGACCAUAUAAAUAAAGUAAAACAGCUGCGACGGUCGAAUUUAUUCAGAGCUAAAGUUUUGAUUGAAGAACUUGAAUGCCUGGCCGAGGAUGUUUAUAGCACUACGCUAACAGCCAGCCUUAGUAUCUUAGAAGCUUCAGAUUGCUUUGAUGAUGAUGAUAACCUGCCAGCAGAUUCUUGUGAGGAUGAAGGGCAGUCUGUGGAUCCGCUGGACAGCGCAGUAUCUUACUCGAGCGUUAUGAUUCUGGUUCACAAUAUGUUAAAGUUGGAUUAUUCGAUGCAGGAGAAGAUAGUCAAGGCACUGUGCCUUAAAACACCAUCGUCGGAGCUAGAUGGCUAUUGUCUAAUGUGGGACUUGCGGCCGUACAUUGAUGACAAUGUGAUGCAGCUUGCCUGGAAAUUCAUUUCGUAG